rnacentral:pre_miRNA from 1 species
GAAAUCGAGAAAAUGGCAAGAUGGUGGCAUAGUUGUGAGGCAAAAUGGAUCCCAACUGUGCUUCAUCAGGCCUGUUUCUUGC